CUCGAACCGUGGCCAGGGAUAUUUUUCAAGCUAUAUAUUUAACAAAUAUAAAACAUUUUCUGUGUUGAUAUACAGUUAUAACAGGAGUGGAAAUUGGGAAAACGAGAAAUUGUGUUUACGUCCGCAAGUGAACUAGAGUGGAGGCUUAGAAAGAAGUGUUUGAGAAAUAUCAAAUAUGGCCUCGGAAAAACAAAUCAGACCUUCAGUUUUCUGACCCAUGUUUGCAGUUAGCUCAUGUCAAUUCGGAAGGUAACCAGCUCGGUGAUUUCAACAUGGACUUAUAUGAUCAAGAUGGCAUCAGACACCUGUCUCUCAUUACCAGCAUAUCAUCUACUAACUCUAUGCUCUUAUCACAUCAGCCAUCGCACUUGGGGAACCAACAAUGACAACAAAGGGCAAAAGAAGAGAUAGAGCAGAAAUGGGAUCAUCGUAAUGAUUCCAAUUUGGAUGAUAUGUGAAUAAAAUAUAAAGGCCAAAGCAAUUGUGGCGCUACGGAGGGAACCGACAAGUUUGACUUGAAGCUAGACAGCUCCAACUAAAUUUAGUAAAAAGUAGAUUGACUGGAAGGACAGCUCCAACUAAAUUUAGUAAAAAGUAAGUGAAACACGCAUUUGAUUUAAGUUUAAAAACAAUAAAGGCAAUACACUAGCCCGACGAAUAUUUACAAAACAUUUUCGAGACAUGCAACAAGCAUGACUAAUUUCAUUCGAAUAUAGUCCGCAUGUAGUUUAUAAUAUACAACUGUACAAGAAAAGCAAACUUUUAGCCAUAGUUCCUUGCUUAGCUGACGUCCCACACAAAAUUUUCAUCGUGUCGGAAACGCGUGGUCGUAGAUUCAUAUCUCGCUUCUCAUAUCUCGCCUACCAUUUUUAGUUGCUGUUUAAUUAUGCAAGUUUACUAUGUUAUUGUUUAGUCGGUUUAAAUGUUAGAAUUUUCUUCUUUAAACUUUAAUGUUGUCGUCACUAGAUCUGGAAAACCACGUAAGAACAAAUUAAAAGUAUUUUAAAAGAGACCA